GAUGAAGAACGCAGCGAAAUGCGAUAAGUAGUGUGAAUUGCAGAAUUCAGUGAAUCAUCGAAUCUUUGAACGCACAUUGCGCCCCUUGGUAUCCCGAGGGGCAUGCCUGAUCGAGCGUCAUUUCACCACUCAAGCCUGGCUUGGUGUUGGGCGACGUCCUCUUUGGGGACGCGCCUCGAAACGCUCGGCGGCGUGGCACCGGCUUUAAGCGUAGCAGAAUCUUUCGCUUUGGAAGUCGGGGCCCCGUCUGCCGGAAGACCUGCUCGCAAGGUUGACCUCGGAUCAGGCAGGGAUACCCGCUGAACUUAAGCAUAUCAAUAAGCGGAGGA
rnacentral:misc_RNA from 1 species